UGGCUCAGAACGAACGCUGGCGGCAUGCCUUACACAUGCAAGUCGAACGGCAGCAUGGAGGAGCUUGCUCCUCUGAUGGCGAGUGGCGAACGGGUGAGUAAAGCAUCGGAACGUGCCGUGUAGUGGGGGAUAACGUAGCGAAAGUUACGCUAAUACCGCAUACGCACCGAGGUGGAAAGCAGGGGAUCGCAAGACCUUGCGCUAUACGAGCGGCCGAUGUCAGAUUAGCUAGUUGGUAGGGUAAAGGCCUACGAAGACGACGAUCUGUAGCGGGUCUGAGAGGAUGAUCCGCCAC
rnacentral:rRNA from 1 species